CAACUUGGAAAAUCACCGAGCUACAGAAAGAGCCUCUCACCGAUUCAGAACGUUCACACACAGAGCGCGAGAUAGAGGACAGUGUGCGAGCUGUCACUGAAGAAAGACGCACAUGUAUCAGGAAACUGUUCUUGUGCUCGUGGACCGUCAACACAUCAAAUUAACCAUAGUUACUCGUACAUGCCAGAUUUUUAUAGUGACUGUAAACCGACUGGUAUGGAAUGUGUUUGUGCCGAACAUUUUAAAACUUGACUAAGGUCGAUUUGAGAGGGGUGGACUACAGGAGAAACCUCAUGGGCUACAACAGUGGUUGAGGUGGGCUGUCCAUGAGAGCCUCCUACCUCCCAGGAUGGAUGACAGUCCUGGGCCUGUCCUCCUACAACUACACUCCUCCUACUGGGUCUCUGGCUUCAUCUCCCCUCCUUCCAGUGUCUGAGUGCCUGGCGUUCCUUACCUCCUGGGCCCCAGCCACUCCAUCACCUCCACAAUGACACAGAUGGACUACAAAUACAGCCUGCUGGGCCCUCCGGAUGACGACUACAGGAAGAUGCCCCUGCUACUUCAGGUGGACAGCCUGUUUGCCGUGCUGCAGGUAAAGAGGGAACCACGGCGGCCCUGGAGCACUCUAGGAUUCUUCCGGAGAGGAAAACUGUACAGUUUCUUGUUCGGCCUGGCAGUGAUGUUCCUCAUCAUGGCCUCCUAUGUCCUGACUGGGGAUAAGAAGAACUUGCUCCUCACCCCCUCCCCCUACAACUUCCCCAGCCUCGUCAACCCAGGACCAUUCCCCUUCAACCUGUCCUCAGCCAAGGACUACGCCAACAUUAAGCUGUUGGUGAAGACCAUCACCUCCAAAGUGGAGUUCAUCAGUCGCCAGCCACCAGAUAUGAAAGCACUGGUACACAGUGAAACCCAUAUGUUUUCUGUUAUCCCCCGCAAGUUCCUGCCUAACAUCAAGAACCCCUGCUGGUAUGAGGUGCACACUGGGAACAUCACUGUGGACCCUUACAGUGCCAACCUGUACGCCCGGUACUCACAGCGUUUCCGAACCGUGUUCGAGAACCUGAGGAACGCAUUCAGGGAACACUUGUACCGCCGGGCGGGCAAGUACUACCGAAUACGGUGUCUGCCUUACUUCUACAUCAUUGGCCAGCCCAAGUGCGGCACAACGGACCUGUACGACAGGCUAAGGCUUCACCCAGAUGUCAGGUUCACCACUUUUAAAGAGCCGCACUGGUGGACUAGGAAGAGGUUUGGUAUUAUUCGUCUGAGUGAUGGAUUCCAUGACCGCUACCCAGUGGAGGACUACUUGGACCUCUUUGACUUGGCUGCCUACCAGAUCCAAGACCACCUACUGGUCAACUCCUCUGGAGCGCCUAAGCAACGCAAUAUUAUCAUAGGAGAAGCCAGCGCAUCCACCAUGUGGGACAACAAUGCCUGGGUCUAUUUCUAUGACAACACCACUGAGGGGGAGCCCCCCUUCCUCAUCCAGGAUUUUGUCCACGCCCUGCAGCCCGAUGCCCGCUUCAUUGUCAUGCUCAGGGACCCUGUAGAGAGGUGGGAAUCUCUCCCUCCUCUCAUGCAAUCUCUCCCUCCAGGCUUUACUCAGACUAUCUUUACUUCGGGAUUGCCAAUAAGUCUGCAGAGGACUUCCACGAGAAGGUGUCAGAGUCUCUGCAGCUUUUUGAGGGGUGCCUUACAGAGUACAAGAUGCGUGCCUGUGUGUACAACACAACACUCAACAAUGCAAUGCCAGUCAGGUUGCAGGUUGGCCUGUACAUUGUGUACAUAUUAGACUGGCUGACGGUCUUCAGCAAAAAUCAGAUUUUGGUCCUGCGCCUGGAAGACCAUGCCUCAAAUCGGAAAUACACAAUGCACAAAGUCUUUAAUUUCCUCAAUUUGGGACCAUUGACGGAGCAGAAGGAAGCAGAGAUCACCAGAAGCCCAGCGUCAAACACCAGGAGACCAGCCGACAAGAACCUGGGACCCAUGUUGCCCAUCACCAAGGAGAUCCUGAGGGACUUCUACACACCAUUCAAUGAGAAACUGGCUAAAGUGCUCCGGAAUGACUCGUUCCGCUGGGAGAGCUGUUCAAAGCUUGUGUAAAGAAUGACCACCUCAAAAACCACUGACACAUUUAGUAGUCCCAAACAGUUUUUGUUUGUUUCAUCUCUCCCAAAGUGCCCAUGAGAAUCAAAAUCCUUCUAUUUAAAUGAAUACUUAAGUUAUGAUGUGGAGAUGAAACAAAGAUGGAGAAAUAGCGCAACUCCUUUUUGUUCUGGAUUUUUUGUGGGUUGGGGGUCUUUUUUCGAAUUCAAAAAAGCAAGCACAAACUUUAAUCUGACCGGAUGAACAUUAAACAGUGGAUUCCAAGUGGAACAGGCUCUGGUGUUAUCUUUUUAAAGAUGCGUGUGAUGUUUGGGUGGAUGAUUGCUUUGAAGGAGCAAAGACAACCAAUCAGCAUUGAAAUUAUUCACCUUGAUUUGCCAUACUAACAAAAAAAGUCUCCCACUCUGCAGUCUGCAGUCACAAAAGCCAUCACAAAAUGUAUGUGAAUAGUACACUACAUGAAUGCCUGACUGACCACUCUUGGAGAGUAUGAAGAAUUAUUAGCAUUACAAUAUUGCCCUCUGCUGUUUGAAAUAAAUUAUAUCAAUAAAACGGUUUAAAUCAAAUAAUGUGUGAAAUGUGAAUA